rnacentral:rRNA from 1 species
AAUGAACGUUGGCGGCGUGGAUUAGGCAUGCAAGUCGAGCGCGAUGAGUUUGGUAGCUUGCUAUUGAACUCGGAAAGCGGCGAAAGGGAGAGUAACGCGUAGUUACGUGCCCCAGGGUUCGGAAUAGCCACGGGAAACUGUGGGUAAUGCCGAAUAACAUCUCCGGAUCAAAGGUGUGAUUCCGCCCUGGGAGCGGACUGCGUCCUACUAGCUAGUUGGCGGGGUAAUGGCCCACCAAGGCAACAAUGGGUAGCGGGUGUGAGAGCAUGACCCGUCUCACUGGGCCUGAGACACUGCCCAGACACCUGCGGGUGGCUGCAGUCGAGAAUCUUCGGCAAUGGGCGAAAGCCUGACCGAGCGACGCCGCGUGCGGGAUGAAGGCCCUCGGGUUGUAAACCGCUGUCGUAGGGGAGGAAGGCUCUGUGAAGAACAGGGUUUGACCUAUCCUAGGAGGAAGUACGGGCUAAGUUCGUGCCAGCAGCCGCAGUAACAC